UGUGGGAGCGGGCUUGCUCGCGAAGGGGCCGUGUCAGCCAAUAUUUAUAUCAACUGACACACCGCUUUCGCGAGCAAGCCCGCUCCCACA
rnacentral:antisense_RNA from 2 species